rnacentral:lncRNA from 1 species
CUGAUUUUAAGGUUUCCAAUUCCGAGAUGCUAAAAACAUCAAGUACUUUCUGCGAUACAGGUCCAAAAUCCUCAUUCAGAUGUAAGUAUACAGCUGCAGUCUAGGGCCAAAGGUAAAUACUUUUAGAUUACCCUCUCAAACAGAGUUGACCAAGCUUUUCAAACUUUCAUGCAAUUGAUCAUACUAUUAAAAUUAAGUAUCCCUCCUCUAAAUACUCUGAAUCCCAGAUUUUGUUUCUGGAAUUAAAUCACCCAAAAGACACCCACAUGGAUUUGAAAAUGCCUGUAACAGCCACCAAGGGCUCAUGCUGAAAAACCGGGGUUUCAUUUUUCUUAUUCAAGAGGGAGAACCAAAACAGUUUCUUUUGGCAGAUUUUGCUUUAGCUCAUCAACUGGAGAACCUGAUGUUUUGCCAAAGAAAUAUGCAAAUGGAUGCUUGAUUAAAUAAGAUGAAAACUUUGUUGCUGAGAUAUGGCUUUUCUUCCCAUUUCUAACUCCAUUCAUUUCAUGCUCGCUGAAGCAAGCCUAACUAAGCCCUCCAUGACUUUCGGUGGGACAGUAACCCUCCGCGUCUACAUAAACCCUGCUCGUGCUGUGGGUUCCCUAUGCGUCCAAGACAGGUGGACCUUCCAUCAUCCUCUGGAGUCUCAAAAAUACAUCCAACAACAGAUGCAAAGCCCUAAUAAUAAAAAAUAAUGAAACAGGUGACUGUCAUCGCCGGCUGUCCCUUUGCUCCGUUCGCAUCAAACUGGGCUUCAGUGACUAAGGAUGCAGAACUUCUCCCAUGAACUCCUGGAAAGCUAGCAUGGGGAGCAGAAAACCCCAUGCAUUAGAUUUAGACAGCCCGGGGUUUAACUUGGACUUAUGCACCUCCUAAAUUGGUUGAACUUGAAUAACAUAAUAACUCCUCCGAAAUGCUAUUUCCUCGUGUGUAAAAAAGAUAUCCUUAUCCCUUUCUCAAAGGUUAAGAAUGAACAUGA